rnacentral:rRNA from 1 species
GUAGGUGGCAAGCGUUGUCCGGAAUUAUUGGGCGUGAAGCGCGCGCAGGCGGUUCUUUAAGUCUGAUGUGAAAGCCCACGGCUCAACCGUGGAGGGUCAUUGGAAACUGGAGAACUUGAGUACAGAAGAGGAAAGCGGAAUUCCACGUGUAGCGGUGAAAUGCGUAGAGAUGUGGAGGAACACCAGUGGCGAAGGCGGCUUUCUGGUCUGUAACUGACGCUGAGGCGCGAAAGCGUGGGGGAGCAAACAGGAUUAGAUACCCUGGUAGUCCACGCCGUAAACGAUGAGUGCUAAGUGUUAGGGGGUUUCCGCCCCUUAGUGCUGCAGCUAACGCAUUAAGCACUCCGCCUGGGAGUACGGCCGCAAGGCUG